CUUCUUCCUAUAUAAACCCUACUAUAAGUCUCCAGUUACCCAUCAGCCACAGCGGAUCUGAAGAAACCCUAAUUCGCAGUAAAGUAGAGUUACAAUGGCGGUUCCUCUACUGAAAAAGAAGGUAAUCAAGAAAAGGGUGAAGCAAUUCAAGAGGUAUCAGAGUGAUAGGAGAAUCACUGUGAAGACAAAUUGGCGCAAGACCAAAGGGUAUUGACUCCAGAGUUAGAAGGAAGUUCAAGGGAUGUGUCUUGAUGCCCAAUAUUGGAUAUGGUUCCUGACAAGAAGACUCGCCACUAUCUUCCCAAUGGCUUUAAGAAGUUUGUUGUGCACAAUGCAAGUGAACUUGAUAUUUUGUUGAUGCUCAACAGUUAAUGCAAGAGAGCAAAAUUCGUUUGCUUAUUCCAUCUUUGCUUACUUUGUGACCUCACUGUUAAAUUCUUUCUCUUAU